rnacentral:misc_RNA from 1 species
UGGCGGCACGGCGGCAAACACUGUGAUGUUGUGAGGCGUAACGUUAAACAUGAUAAUAACAUUAGCAAUUUAAAAAGUUUUAAUAAAAGUUGACUAACUAAUAGUAAUAAUUAUUUAGAGCUAUAGAACUAAGUUCAUUCUGGUGGCGUGAGCAGUUAACUAAUCAUACUUUUACUUGUGGCAAUCUUGGUCAUAAUUAAUCAUUAUGUUUUCAAGAUGUUGCAGAUAUAAUGCUUUUGCAUUUUCCAUGCAAAGCAUAAAUUUAUUUAUGUUAAACUUAAAAAUGACCCAUCUUAAUAACUAUAAAUUGUGCAGACCAUUAACGUUAAACUUCAAUACAGAACUUGUUAAAAGUAAAACUUCCUCAGGCUCAAUUUCUUCAAGUGUCAUUACUAAGAAAGACAUAAACAUUACUGAUACUGAUAAUAAAUUACCAUGUUAUCUCGAAGGUGUUUUUACUGAAAUUGUUGCUAACAGUAUGGUUGUUUAUGAAGAUUUUCUAAAUGAAGAAGAAGAGAAAAAUAUAAUUGAUGAAAUAGAGCCUUAUAUGAAAAAACUAAGAUACGAGUAUGAUCACUGGGAUGAUUUUUGUGGAGAUACCAUUGCUGGCCUAUGCUUACUGUCAGAUGCUGUCAUGAAGUUAGUAGAAGAAGACCACAUUGAAAACUGGGUGAAUGUUCUGCUGAAAAGGAGGUCUUUGUAUGUAAUGAAAAUGGGGGAAUGUACAGUCAUCUUUACAAGAUCUCCAAAUCAGGGAAGAAGCAAGGGUCUCCAUCCAUCAGCAUGGCACUGGCCCACCUGUAUAACAGAUUGCCUCACUAGGAACUGCACACUCUGCAGCCAUUCAGCCUCUCAGCACAAAGGUCACCUUAGGCUUGGGGAAUUUUGCCCACAUUGUCUCUCAUAUCCCAUAGAUCCAUCGUUUACCAUGUCCCUGGCUGCACAUUUCCUCUCUUCCCUUGGAGGACAUCAUUAGUGCCAGUUUGUGGACCACUCUGCAUACUUUGACAUCUCCUUGUCUUGCAUUUCCCUGUGAGUGAAUUUUAGGUGCAAUAGAUGGUACCAACCUCUAAAUCAAAGCUCCAAUAGUAUCUCCAUCAACCUACAUUAACAUAAAAACUGUUGUUCUAUACUACUGCAAUCUGUUUGCUAUAGUUGUAUAAUGUUCACUCACUGUUAAGCUGGAAAAGCUUAAUCAAUUCAUGAUGCCCAUCUUUAUUGACAAUCAGGUCUUUAUCGUGCUAUUGAAAUAAAUCCAACAAUGAUGUUUCCAGUGGAUAGUGAUCUUGUAUGAGAUCCAGUAUAUCUAUUGGAAUAUCACUUACUCAUCCCAUUCAAAGACAAUGACAACUUAGGAAACAAAGAAAGAAAGUAUAACUAUAAACUGUCAUUAGCACUCUUUUACCAUUGAAAGAGCAUUUGCCUUACUUGGAAUAUUUUGUCAUUUGAAAUAUUUAGAUAUUACACAAUUAGAUA